AGGAAGCGAGAAGUCGACGCGCCGCAAGGCGUCCGGCCCUCCGCGAGCGCCCGCGGGGGAGCGGGUUUCGGACCUGGUCCGAUCCCGCUCCCACCGAGGGGCUGUCCGCGUUUUGGAGGUGUUCUCGGACGGCGUCGAAUCCUUCUCCAGUCCGCGACGCUACGGCUUGGAUGGUCCACCCGACCCGUCUUGAAACACGGACCAAGGAGUCUAACAUGCGCGCAAGUCGUUGGGUCGGACACGCUCCGCUAAACCCAUAGGCUCAAUGAAAGUGAAGGCUGCCGUACGGUGGCCGAGGGAGGACGGGGUCGUUCGGGCGCUCCGGCGCUCGUCGGCCUCCGCACCCCCGGGGCGUCUGAUCCCUCAUCGCGAGGGGAGGCGCACCCAGAGCGCACACGUUGGGACCCGAAAGAUGGUGAACUAUGCCUGGCCAGGACGAAGUCAGGGGAAACCCUGAUGGAGGUCCGUAGCGAUUCUGACGUGCAAAUCGAUCGUCGGAGCUGGGUAUAGGGGCGAAAGACUAAUCGAACCAUCUAGUAGCUGGUUCCCUCCGAAGUUUCCCUCAGGAUAGCUUGCGCUCGGAGGAGAGUCUCAUCCGGUAAAGCGAAUGAUUAGAGGCCUUGGGGCCGAAACGGCUUCAACCUAUUCUCAAACUUUAAAUGGGUGAGAACUCCGGCUUGCUCGACUUGUCGAAGCCGGAGUCUGGAUCGGAGUGCAUAGUGGGCCACUUUUGGUAAGCAGAACUGGCGCUGUGGGAUGAACCAAACGACGGGUUAAGGCGCCCGAAUCGACGCUCAUGGGAAACCAUGAAAGGUGUUGGUUGCUUAAGACAGCAGGACGGUGGACUUAAGACAGCAGGACGGUGGCCAUGGAAGUCGGAAUCCGCUAAGGAGUGUGUAAUAACUCACCUGCCGAAGCAACUAGCCCUGAAAAUGGAUGGCGCUGAAGCGUCGUGCCUAUACCCGGCCGUCGCGGCAGAGCGGACUCGGCCCUCGGGUCGGGUGCCGUUUGAUGCGGCGACGAGUAGGAGGGUCGCGGCGGCGCGCGCAGAAGGGUCUGGGCUCGAGCCUGCCUGGAGCCGCCGCCGGUGCAGAUCUUGGUGGUAGUAGCAAAUACUCCAGCGAGGCCCUGGAGGACUGAUGUGGAGAAGGGUUUCGUGUGAACAGCCGUUGCACACGAGUCAGUCGAUCCUAAGCCCUAGGAGAAAUCCGACGCCAACGGCGACGGGAAAAAAGAAUUUUGGAAAAAUACCCGUUGAACGGGCGAAAGGGAAUCCGGUUCCUAUUCCGGAACCCGGCAGCGGAACCGCUGUUUGUCGGGCCCUCACAAGGGGUUCGUCAGGGUAACCUAAAAGGGCCCGGAGACGCCGUCGGGAGCCCCGGAAAGAGUUUUCUUUUCUGCAUGAGCGUUCGAGUUCCCUG
rnacentral:rRNA from 1 species